UCCGGCUUGUCACCGGCAGUUCCACUAGAGUGCCCACCCAAACGUGCUGGCAACUAGAGGCGAGGGUUGCGCUCGUUGCGGGACUUAACCCAACAUCUCACGACACGAGCUGACGACAGCCAUGCAGCACCUGUGCAGUAGGUCCCUUGCGGGAAAAGUACGUCUCCGUACCGGUCCUACCCAUGUCAAGAGCUGGUAAGGUUCUGCGCGUUGCUUCGAAUUAA
rnacentral:misc_RNA from 1 species